rnacentral:rRNA from 1 species
AACGAACGCUGGCGGCAGGCUUAACACAUGCAAGUCGAACGGGCGUAGCAAUACGUCAGUGGCGGACGGGUGAGUAACACGUGGGAAUAUGCCUUUCGGUUCGGAACAACUCGGGGAAACCCGUGCUAAUUCCGGAUACGCCCUUACGGGGAAAGAUUUAUCGCCGAAGAUUAGCCGCGUUGGAUUAGCUAGUUGGUGAGGUAAAGGCUCACCAAGGCGACGAUCCAUAGCUGGUUU